GACGUCACAACUCAAAAUAUAGAAAGCGUGAUAACUUGAGAACGAGAUGAGAUAUGACGAAACUGUAAACGUCAUUCUUCAUCACUCCAGCAGUACUUUUUAGAAAAACAAUAAAAAAUGAGGUGAAAAAUUCGUUGCAUAGGCACUUUAAUAUUUUCAUCUUUUUUAAGAACUGCAAUUACAUGCUGAUCUCGGUUAAGGUCCUGUCACACUAUUGCGUAUAUAUGAGAUCAACGUAUGAGUAGCGUAAACCAUCCAUGCAUACGUCCGCAUACUCGAAAUUUUUUUAACCAUGCUUAUACCUAACGUACCCCUAACGUAUGUAGGCGUAUGAUUGAAAUUUUCCAUACACUCAGGGCCAUUACGGAAAAUUUUGCACCAAUAAACAGGUGGAAGCACGGUUCGAGGGAUGGUUCCCCGAUUUUUAAAUAGACACCUUACGAUUUAGGACGGCAACGGCUACCAAUACAAUAAAUAAUUUAAAAAAUUGAAUAAUUACGAUAUGUGAAUAAUUUAGACAUUGUCCUCGCUUUGUUUACAACGCCAAAUCACAGAUUUUCACGUCUUGAUACAACGGCUGCAUGCAUUUCAAACCGCAACAAGUGCAACUUCAAACAUAAAACCCAUGUCUUCAACUUCUAAGACUGUAUUAAAUUCAUACGAUUGCUAAUAUACCACGAACUGUCUUUACUACCAUUUAUUUGAAGGAGUUUGUUUUGGCCGUCGUCGUCGCGUUGCCGUCCUAAAAUCGUAAGGUCUCUAUUCUCUAAUAACCCCUCUGUGCGAUCCUUGCCGUUAGAUGCCUCUAUAUAUACGCCCUUUACUGCUCCGCCCUUUCAGUCAGAUUAUGACAGUCUUGGUUCAUUUAUUUGUUUGAGAAUAUUAAGUUUCACUUUGACUUAAUAUAUGCACUUACUACAUGUUUCGUCGGUUUUAAUAUAGCCUAAUAGCUCAAAGCGACAAGAAAGAAAUUCGUUUUUUACAUCAAAACGUUUUUGUAUACCCAGCCAUGUAUUAAAGUUGAUUGUUUAUAGAUUCUAAUUUCGUACCUUGUCUCUCUAUGCACAUGAGAGCAAUAUAAAUGUAUAGUAGUACACUCAUAGGCGUACGGGAUUCAUAUCUAUUGGAGGAGCUGUGGUCUAUAUUGCCCGAAAAUAUUUGGGCCC